rnacentral:rRNA from 1 species
AGCGUAUAUUAAAGUUGUUGCAGUUAAAAAGCUCGUAGUUGAAUUUCGGGGUCAGUAGGUCGGUCGUGCCACUGGUAUGAACUGGUUUUACUGAUUCCUCCCUCUUGAAGAACUGUAAUGCCAUUAAUUUGGUGUUGCAGGGAAUCAGGACUGUUACUUUGAAAAAAUUAGAGUGUUUAAAGCAGGCUUUAGCUUGAAUACAUUAGCAUGGAAUAAUGAAAUAGGACGUUUGAUCCUAUUUUGUUGGUUUCUAGGAUUGACGUAAUGAUUAAUAGGGAUAGUUGGGGGCAUUAGUAUUCAAUUGUCAGAGGUGAAAUUCUUGGAUUUAUUGAAGACUAACUACUGCGAAAGCAUUUGCCAAGGAUGUUUUCAUUAAUCAAGAACGAAAGUUAGGGGAUCGAAGACGACCAGAUACCGUCGUAGUCUUAACCAUAAACUAUGCCGACUAGGGAUCGGAUGAUGUUAAUUUUUUAAUGACUC